CUUGAAACAGAUACUCGUCUAGCCACAGCAAAGUCAACUCGAGGAAUUACAGCACAGAGAAAUGUGACUCUUUCAGGAACCACUACCUUUAGUGGGUUUCUCUUGGAGGUCAACGGGGUUGGACAAAACACUGCUUUGGGGACGUUCUCUCUUGGCAGCGUGACUGGCAUCACUUUUGUUCCGUGCAAUGGAAUCGCCAACUCAGCAUUGAGUCAAAGCGACAAUCAGGAUAAAUCAUCAGUAACUGUCACCUGGACUGCACCAGCCUCAGUCAUGGGCAACAUCGUAGCCAGAAAAACAUCUCAAGCGAAGGGUGUGGAGAAACUGUGAUUUGUGCUUCCGAGCCAGCACGAUGUGACCCAGCCAGGUCUGCUUCCUGUAUCUUUGCCUCUGCCAACCAGACCACAGGACUGACAUUUUUCUUUGAGCUUCAAGGACAAUCCAGCGGCUAUAUUGCCUUAGGCUUAACCACAGACUUCUCACAGGAAGGUAAUGUCAGCACCUUUAUUUGCGCAAAGAAAAAUAGCAAUGUGAACUUCUUCACCGCGAAUAUAGUCAAUGGAAAUCUGACUAUGAACAACAAUCUACCAGUUGAUUCUGUGAAGGGCUCAAUCAAUGAUCUGACCAUCCAGUGCUCCUUCAAUGCUUUAAUCCCCACUGCUACUAAAACCAAGAGUAGCAGCACCACCUACUACAUCGGCAUCUACAACGGAACUGUUGAUAAUGGAGUCCCGAGCUCUCCUAAGGCAAUUUUUUUCAGCACAUUAGCUGUGGACUUGGCAAACCCCAACACUACUGUAACGAACAACAUCACAACCUCCACUACUGUGUCUUCUUCUACAACUGUCCACACCUUAGGCCUGCAGCACACCCUGUCUCAAGCCCUGCUGAUUCUCCUAGGGGUGCUAGUUUUGUCGGUCAUGUAAUAUGGAUCUUGGUAGUAUAAUAAACUGCACUUAGGAAUUAUGGGCCACUACAGUAGCUUGACAGACACUGACCAGGCUGGAUUCCCAAUCAACACCCUAUCCACUAGAUAGUGUUAGAUUCUGUCCAGUUUUGAGCCAUGAAAUGAAUGCAAACAAAAGUCAGGGGAGAGCCAUCUUUAUUAAGCAUGAGACUACGAUGUUAACCUUCCAUUCUUUCAUUUUCUCUCCAAUAAUUACACAGUUAACACUGUCUUUAAUGCCAGGACACAUGGGAGGCGGUCAAUGGUCAUAACCAGCCAUUACACAGUCCAAUAUCCUUCAAUAAGAAAGGUUUAUCCUACAAAAUACCCUUGUAUGGUGUGCUCCAACCUCUGGUCAAUGGGCAUAUCCAUAGAGCCUAUGUCAGUCACAUGGGCAACUCCUAACAGGAGGUAUGGACAGGAUGUAUGGACAGGAUGUGUGGGG